CUGGUCCCCAUUUCUAGGUCCCAAAUCACCACCAUGAACCUGAUCUUUUUGUAUUUGGUUGUGGUCCUUUGCAUCUUCUGCAAAGAUGGGGAAGCCCUAUUAUACAGAAAAAAAUCAGAUGGAAAAAUUGCUGAAAGUACAUCAGUAA